ACCUGGCUGGCUCAGUUGGUAGAGCACAUGGCUGUUGACCUUGAGGUUGUAAGUUCGAGUCCCAUGUUGAAUG
rnacentral:tRNA from 1 species